rnacentral:rRNA from 1 species
CAGUCGCCACGGUAACACCGAGGGUGCGAGCGUUAAUCGGAUUUACUGGGCGUAAAGCGUGCGUAGGCGGCUUCUUAAGUCGGAUGUGAAAUCCCUGAGCUUAACUUAGGAAUUGCAUUCGAUACUGGGAAGCUAGAGUAUGGGAGAGGAUGGUAGAAUUCCAGGUGUAGCGGUGAAAUGCGUAGAGAUCUGGAGGAAUACCGAUGGCGAAGGCAGCCAUCUGGCCUAAUACUGACGCUGAGGUACGAAAGCAUGGGGAGCAAACAGGAUUAGAUACCCGUGUAGUCCCUGUCUCUUAUAC